rfam:Myotis brandtii contig224410, whole genome shotgun sequence.
GGCAGUUCUUGGGUGAUGCACCCCGGAAUCCGGAUCCCUCCACUAUGGUUCCAGGUGUGUCACCCAAGAACUGCA